ACACCAAUCUGCCCUUAUCUCUCUCCCGUCCUCACCGCUGCUCCAACCCACACGCGAUUCCUCCAACGCCGCGCCGAUCUCCAUCCCCACCUUGGGACUCCAGGCCUCCCCAUCGAUGUCCGUCGCCGCCCGUCCCCAUCCCCCGUCCGCGGCCGCCCAUCCCCGUCCCUUACCGUGGCACCGGCGAGCGGGCAUGGCCCCUUGGCACCUGAUCCGUUUCCGCGCGACCGGCGGGCCGAGCUUGCGGCCGUGCCGGCGCCGCCCGUCCCUCGCUGUACUCCACAAUGGUGCCUGCCGUUCCCGCCCAGGCCUCUCCUCACCGGAGCUCGCGGCCACCCUCGCCUAGGCGGCCAUCGCGGCCGUCGCGUCUCGCGUCCCCACCCGGGCGGCCUUCAGCACUGAGGCACCGCCCGUCCUGCCCGGGUGCCCCUCCCCUCCCUUGCCAGCGCGGCGGGACCUGGCCCUCGUUGGCGCCCCUUCCCGCCCAGGCUGGAGCCGCGCGUACCGGCCUAGGCCGGCGACGCCCGUCGCCGUCCGGCAAUCGCUGUCUGCCCUCGCCGCGCGCCCAUCCCCGCAGAGGCACUGUCCAAGCCGAGUCACCUGCCCCCACCCUUGCAAGGCCAGGCACGAGCACAACUCGUCACUGUUCAGGUGAGCACUUCCAUGGAUCCACAAGAGGAGCACGACGAGUGGUUCAACUACGACUACAAUGCUGCUUCUGUGACGAACCUUGGCCUGACUUGAUGAUUGCUUCCUAUUUCACAUUUUGCACAAGACAAGUGGAGAAAGUCUAAAUGUUUGCAUAUAUUUUGAUUCUUGCAUGUUCUCCUGUUCUGUCAUAAAUUAUAUAGUAUAUAUUUUUAUGCCUUGCUGAUCCGAUUGAUGGAUUGAUCUGAAAAGUUUUAUGCUGUCCAUAAGUCAAAAGGCUAUGUUUCAUCAUUCUUACUUCGUUGAAUUUAUCCAAUUCAUGCUUAUCACAUCCACAUAGAACUGAACAUGCAGCUUGUUUACUUCAGUUCAAUUUUUUGCUCCUGAUCAUAUAUGAUUGUUUAAUUCAGAUUUGAGUGUUGGAAUUUUCUUUUUGGGGAAUCAAUAUUUCGGAGAAUGUGCAGAAACUUGUCCAGUAGUGUUCUUUUAGUUCUGUCUAGUAUGAAUUCUCCAAAUUACACUUCCUACAAUUAAAAUAUAAUCAUAACUCAUACUACUUUCCUUUCUUCUCUUUACUUGACCAAAGAAACAUCUAUUCCUGAUAGAGUGGCGCUGGUGAUUUACUUUUGUCUAAUAAAAAGGUUAUCAGCUGGUUGCUUGUUUUUUAAGAAUAAUGGCAAAUAAUCUACUAUUAGCUCAUUAUAUGUCGAUAUAUGGGCCUAGUGUCUAUGAUUUAGAUGGAUUUCUAUUGGAAUUAGUGUGAAGAUGAUAGUAGUUACAAGCAAUUAUAAAACCAGGAAGCAGAAGGAUGGCACCCCAAGAUGCUUCUUCUUAGUUAAUGAUUCCAAACAAAAAGAGGCACUCCUUAGCUAAAUCUUUGAAAAAUGUAUAUUAGUCAUUAUAUGUUUAAUUUAUUAAAGAUUAAUGUUGCGCAAUUCUACCGCUCUAUAAUGCAAUUACAUUUCUCUUUCUUUCAAUUUGAUGCACAUACAAAGAAUUCAAGUAAAGGUAGGAUAACAAUAAAAACAAAAGGUAGGUAAGAAGGAUAUUUUUUCAUUCAUUGUAGUGAUAUUUUUACCUUAUAUUAUUUCAUAUCUUAUUUCAGAUGAUAAGAAUCAACAAUUAGGAUUUGCAAUCUACCAUUAGGAUGGACGAACAUAAUAGUAAUUAAUCUAACUCCAUGAUCUUAACAUAAAUAAUGCUCGUUUGUCGCUUAGUGACUAUGUCAAUUGAAGUGUCUGGGUCCAUAACUUAAGGCUGCUGCCAUACUGAGGUCUAUCGUUAGUGGGGUCAUCAAAAACUAGCGAUGCUCUUACCAAAGGUUUGAGUUACCAUAACUGAAUUCUUAUAUUGAUGGGUAAACGAAUGGAUCCAGAAGCAACGAAUUUCAAGAAUACUAUAUAUUUAUAUUUUGCUUUUCAGUAGUGGAGGUUUGUACUGUGCACUAUUUAUUUUUGCUCUUUGUAAUCAUAUUGUUAUGUAUAUAGACUAUCAUAUGAUGUGAACCAGUACUACAAUUGAAACUUUCCUACAAUCAAUGCAAGGUCCUAUGUUUUUUGGAAUA